AGCGGCAGGCUUAACACAUGCAAGUCGAACGGUAACAUGAAAGCUUGCUUUUGAUGACGAGUGGCGCACGGGUGCGUAACGCGUAUGCAAUCUACCCUUUACUGGAGAAUAGCCCUUGGAAACGAGGAAUAAUACUCCAUAGUAUAACAAUUUCGCAUGUUAUUGUUAUUAAAGCUUCGGCGGUAAAGGAUGAGCAUGCGUCCCAUUAGUUAGUUGGUGAGGUAAUGGCUCACCAAGACUUCGAUGGGUAGGGGGCCUGAGAGGGUUAUCCCCCACACUGGUACUGAGACACGGACCAGACUCCUACGGGAGGCAGCAGUGAGGAAUAUUGGUCAAUGGACGAAAGUCUGAACCAGCCAUGCCGCGUGCAGGAUGACUGCCCUAUGGGUUGUAAACUGCUUUUAUAUAGGAAGAAACCUCCCGACGUGUCGGGAGCUGACGGUACUAUAAGAAUAAGGACCGGCUAACUCCGUGCCAGCAGCCGCGGUAAUACGGAGGGUCCAAGCGUUAUCCGGAUUUAUUGGGUUUAAAGGGUACGUAGGCGGAGUUUUAAGUCAGUAGUGAAAGCCCAUCGCUUAACGAUGGAACUGCUAUUGAUACUGAUACUCUUGAAUAUAGUUGAAGUGGGCGGAAUACGGCAUGUAGCGGUGAAAUGCAUAGAUAUGCCGUGGAACACCCAAUCGCGAAGGCAGCUCACUAAGCUAUUAUUGACGCUUAUGUACGAAAGCGUGGGUAGCGAACAGGAUUAGAUACCCUGGUAGUCCACGCCGUAAACGAUGAUUACUCGGUGCUGGCGAUAUACAGUCA
rnacentral:rRNA from 1 species